rnacentral:rRNA from 1 species
UACAGAGGGGGCAAGCGUUGUUCGGAAUUACUGGGCGUAAAGGGCGCGUAGGCGGCCUGCUAAGUCGAACGUGAAAUCCCCGGGCUCAACCCGGGAACUGCGUCCGAUACUGGUUGGCUUGAAUCCGGGAGAGGGAUGCGGAAUUCCAGGUGUAGCGGUGAAAUGCGUAGAUAUCUGGAGGAACACCGGUGGCGAAGGCGGCAUCCUGGACCAACACUGACGCUGAGGAGCGAAAGCCAGGGGAGCAAACGGG